GUGGGGAAUCUUGCGCAAUGGGCGAAAGUCUGACGCAGCCAUGCCGCGUGAAUGAUGAAGGUCUUAGGAUUGUAAAAUUCUUUCACCGGGGACGAUAAUGACGGUACCCGGAGAAGAAGCCCCGGCUAACUUCGUGCCAGCAGCCGCGGUAAUACGAAGGGGGCUAGCGUUGCUCGGAAUUACUGGGCGUAAAGGGCGCGUAGGCGGACAGUUUAGUCAGAGGUGAAAGCCCAGGGCUCAACCUUGGAAUUGCCUUUGAUACUGGCUGUCUUGAGUACGGGAGAGGUGAGUGGAACUCCGAGUGUAGAGGUGAAAUUCGUAGAUAUUCGGAAGAACACCAGUGGCGAAGGCGACUCACUGGCCCGUUACUGACGCUGAGGCGCGAAAGCGUGGGGAGCAAACAGGAUUAGAAACCCUUGUAGUCC
rnacentral:rRNA from 1 species